rnacentral:rRNA from 1 species
UCAGUCGACUCCUACGGGGAGGCAGCAGUGGGGGAAUAUUGGACAAUGGGGGGGAACCCUGAUCCAGCCAUGCCGCGUGUGUGAAGAAGGCCUUAUGGUUGUAAAGCACUUUAAGCGAGGAGGAGGCUACUGAGACUAAUACUCUUGGAUAGUGGACGUUACUCGCAGAUAAGCACCGGCUAACUCUGUGCCAGCAGCCGCGGUAAUACAGAGGGUGCGAGCGUUAAUCGGAUUUACUGGGCGUAAAGCGUGCGUAGGCGGCUUUUAAGUCGGAUGUGAAAUCCCCGAGCUUAACUUGGGAAUUGCAUUCGAUACUGGGAAGCUAGAGUAUGGGAGAGGAUGGUAGAAUUCCAGGUGUAGCGGUGAAAUGCGUAGAGAUCUGGAGGAAUACCGAUGGCGAAGGCAGCCAUCUGGCCUAAUACUGACGCUGAGGUACGAAAGCAUGGGGAGCAAACAGGAUUAGAUACCCUGGUAG